UGGCGCACGGGUGAGUAACACGUGGGAACGUGCCCUUCACUACGGGACAACGUCAGGAAACUGACGCUAAUACCGUAUAAUGUCUCCGGACCAAAGAUUUAUCGGUGAAGGAUCGGCCCGCGUCUGAUUAGCUAGUUGGUGAGGUAAUGGCUCACCAAGGCGACGAUCAGUAGCUGGUUUGAGAGAAUGAUCAGCCACACUGGGACUGAGACACGGCCCAG
rnacentral:rRNA from 1 species